UGCCUCACAUGAGCUAGGCAAGCGCUCUACCACUGAGCCACAGCCCCAGUCCGGAAACAGAUCUUUGUUUGCAUCAUUUGACCAAAUUGGGAACAUUUAUGCCUCCCACCUUCAUCAUCGGAGUUGACAAUGAACUAUGAGCUGAAUGAAAGAAUGGAUGAAUUGAUGGAUGACUCUCACCACCCCCCUCAAUCUGGAGCUCUUUUUGCCAAAUCUCCAUUGGCCUAACAACAACAGGAAUUUUAGCAGCUUCAAGACUUUGAAACUUCUUGCUUCAUCUUGACUUAAUGAGAUCAACACUCUUCAAAAGGUGGACCUUCGUGUCCUGCCUCUUGACUGUGAUCUGACCUGAGCAUGCCCAAGCAGCUCCAUGGAGGAGUGAUGUUAUAAGGAACUGAGGCCUCCUGCCAACAGCCACAUGAGUGCACCAUCAAGGAAACAGGUCCUCCACCUGCUCAAGCCUUCAGAUGACCAUAGCCUCAGCCCACAACUUAACUGCAACCUCAUAACUGAGCCAGAAUCACAAAUGAACCACCCCCAAUGUCCUAAUCCACAGAAACUGUUAGAUAAAUAAAUGUUGUUUUAAGCUGC